rnacentral:rRNA from 1 species
AUUGAACGCUGGCGGCAGGCCUAACACAUGCAAGUCGGACGGUAGCACAGAGGAGCUUGCUCCUCGGGUGACGAGUGGCGGACGGGUGAGUAAUGUCUGGGGAUCUGCCCGAUAGAGGGGGAUAACCACUGGAAACGGUGGCUAAUACCGCAUAACGUCGCAAGACCAAAGAGGGGGACCUUCGGGCCUCUCACUAUCGGAUGAACCCAGAUGGGAUUAGCUAGUAGGCGGGGUAACGGCCCACCUAGGCGACGAUCCCUAGCUGGUCUGAGAGGAUGACCAGCCACACUGGAACGGAGCCAAGGUCCAGACUCCUACGGGAGGCAGCAGUGGGGAAUAUUGCACAAUGGGCGCAAGCCUGAUGCAGCCAUGCCGCGUGUAUGAAGAAGGCCUUCGGGUUGUAAAGUACUUUCAGCGGGGAGGAAGGCGAUGUGGUUAAUAACCGCGUCGAUUGACGUUACCCGCAGAAGAAGCACCGGCUAACUCCGUGCCAGCCGCCGCGGUAA